ensembl:lncRNA
AUGGAUUGUUUGUCAAGGCGGAGAAAUGCGUUUUUCAUGCACAGUCUGUUUCUUUUUCUAGGACACAUCAUUUCGACUGAGGGUGUUCGCAUGGAUCCUGAGAAGGUUAAGGCUGUGGUAAAUUGGCCAUCCCCAGAGUCUCGCAAGGCCCUGCAGAGAUUUCUGGGGUUCGCCAAUUUUUACCGGCGUUUCAUUCGCAAUUUCAGCCAACUAGCCGCUCCUCUGACCGCCUUGACCUCCCCUAGUUUGACGUUCAGGUGGUCAAACGCAGCCGAGGCUGCGUUUGCCAAACUGAAAAGCUGCUUUGUUUCAGCUCCCAUUCUCGUCACCCCUGAUCGCUCACGUCAAUUCAUAGUGGAGGUCGACGCGUCAGAGGUGGGGGGUAGGAGCAGUGUUGUCCCCAACGCGCAUCCUCAGACGGAAAGGUGCAUCCGUGCGCGUAUUAUUCUCACCGUUUAUCUCCUGCGGAAGUUAAUUAUGACAUUGGCAAUCGAGAGUUGUUGGCAGUCAAACUUGCACUGGAAGAAUGGCGUCACUGGCUUGAAGGGUCGGGUGUACCUUUCAUUGUAUGGACGGACCAUAAGAAUCUCGAAUACAUUAGAACCGCCAAAAGACUUAACUCCAGGCAGGCUCGGUGGGCAUUGUUUUUCGGUCGUUUCGAUUUUACACUUUCUUACCGGCCGGGUUCCAAAAACAUCAAACCCGAUGCUUUAUCCCGUCUUUUUGAGCGUUCCGAUCGUACUGCUACUCCCGAGCCCAUUUUCACCGGGGACCAUCAUUAUCUCCGCGCUCAGAUGGGAGGUCGAAUCGAAGGUGUUGACUGCCUUAGAAGGGGUAACGCCCCCGGCUCGUUGCCCACCGAACCGAUUGUUUGUGCCGGAGGGGUUACGGUCAGACGUUCUCCAGUGGGGUCAUUGUUCCAGUGUUGCUUGUCACCCAGGGGUUAGUAGAACUAGGUUUCUAGUCAAGCAACGAUUUUGGUGGCCUGGUAUGGCUCGUGACGUCCCACGACUUCGUCUUGGCUUGUUCAGUUUGCGCUAUUGGUAA